rnacentral:lncRNA from 1 species
GUUCUGGAUACAUGUCUUUCAAGUUUCAUGUUUUAAUUGUAGUAUUUGGAUACUAAGUGAUGGGAUGCAUAUUCAUUCAAUCCAGCGUUUCCUAAAUGAGGGACAGUGUUCGUCAGAUGUGGUGUGAAGAUCCUGGGCAUGUGCAGACUUUGGCACCCAUCUAUUCUCAAGGAUACAUAUGUAACGGGGACGUGCCUAAAAAGAAUCUAAUUUGGAAUCAACAGGGGAAGAAGUGGCCCCACAGCACAAUGCCUGUCGUGAAGAGGGAGCUCAGCAAAUACCGUCUGGACACCUUUCCCCUACAGCUGAAGGGAAAUAGAACCGAGAGCAGGCUGAUGUACCAGGAGCCCUGUAGGAGCCAGAGGAAGGGGAGGACAAAACCCUAGUCUCAGGAGCCUGAGCCACUCCCUCGAGCCGCAGGUCGGAAACAAGUCAG